GGGCUCCGGGCGGCCGUGACCCUGCUGGAGUGCGGGGGGGACCUCCAGCCCCCCGGGGGGUCCCUGACUCUGCUCUGCCGUGGCAAAGGAUUCACGUUUGGGAAUUUCGGAAUGUACUGGAUGCGCCAGAGCCCCGGGAAGGUGCUGGAAUACGUCGCAGGGAUCAGCAACAGUGGCAGCAGCACCAGCUACGCGUCAUCGGUCAAGGGUCGGUUCUCGAUCUCCAGGGACAACGGGCAGAGCUCGGUGACGCUGACCCUGAACAGCCUCAAGGACGAGGAUUCCGCCGUUUAUUUCUGCGCUAAAGAUGCUGAUGGUGCUGAUGGUUUUGAUGCUGGUGAAAUUGACGUUUAA